GCCUCUGAGGAUGAUUGAAAAUAAGAAACUUUCGUUCUUCCGAGAAAAUCCAUGCGGAAAAUUUCUGGAGACCUGAACUGAAGAGGU
rfam:Gossypium hirsutum cultivar TM-1 chromosome 21, whole genome shotgun sequence